AUCAGCAGGGAAGAUUGUGACGGUACUUGAGUAAGAAGCCCCAUCUAAUUACUUGCCAGCAGCAGCGGUAAUAAUUAGGAGGCUAGCAUUAUCAUCAUUUAUUGGGUGUAAAGGGAGGGUAGUCGGAGUGCCAAGUAUUAUGUGAAAGGCGGGGGCUCAACCCCUGGAACGCAUCGGAAACUGUCAGUCUUGAGUGCCGGAGAGGUAAGCGGAAUUCGUAGUGUAGUCGGUGAAAUGCGUAGAUAUUAUGGAGGAACAACCAGUGGCGAAGGCGGCUUCACUGGUCGGUAACUGACGUUGAGGCUCGAAAGCGUGGGGAGCAUACACACGAUUAGAUAACCCUGGUAGUCCACACAGUAAACGCUGAAUACUAGGUGUUGGGGAGCGAAGCUCUUCGGUGCCGCCGCAAACGCAUUAAGUAUUAUACUCGGUGAGUACGUUCGCAAGAACGAAAAUCAAAGGAAUCGUCGGGGAUCCGCACAAGUGGUGGAGCAUGUGGUUUACUUCGAAGCAACGCGAAGAACGCAGCCAAGUAUUGACAUCCCUGUGUUCGUUCCCUAACCGGAACUGUCUUUCGGGACAGAGGAGACAGGCGGUGCAUGGUAGUCGUCAGCUCGUGUCGUGAGAGGCUGGGGUAAGUCUCGCAACGAGCGCAACCCCUAUUCCCAGUAGCCAGCAGUUAGGGUGGGCACUAUGAGGAGACUGCCCGUGAUAACAUGGAGGAAGGCGGGGAUGACGUCACAUCAUCAUGCCCCUUCUGAUAUGGGGCACACACGGGAUGCAAUGGGGUAAACAAAGGGAAGUGAGCGGGCGAAGGUAAGCAAAUCCCAAAAAUAACGUCCCAGUUGGGACUGCAGUCUGCAACUCGUCUGCCAGAAGCGGGAAUCGUUAGUAAUCGCGGAUCAGAAUGCAGCGGGGAAUACGUUCCCGUCUCGUGCACUCACCGCCCGUCA
rnacentral:rRNA from 1 species